GGGAGUUUAGCUCAGCUGGUUUAGAGCACUUGCCUUACAAGCAAGGGGUCAAUGGUUCGAAUCCGUUAACUCCCACCA
rnacentral:tRNA from 1 species